CAUGUAGGCGGGCUUUUAAGUCCGACGUGAAAAUGCGGGGCUUAACCCCGUAUGGCGUUGGAUACUGGAAGUCUUGAGUGCAGGAGAGGAAAGGGGAAUUCCUAGUGUAGCGGUGAAAUGCGUAGAUAUAUGGAAGAACACCAGUGGCGAAGGCGGCUUACUGGACUGCAACUGACGUUGAGGCUCGAAAGUGUGGGUAGCAAACA
rnacentral:rRNA from 1 species